rnacentral:rRNA from 1 species
CGUUAGCGGCGGACGGGUGAGUAACACGUGGGUAACCUACCUAUAAGACUGGGAUAACUUCGGGAAACCGGAGCUAAUACCGGAUAAUAUAUCGAACCGCAUGGUUCGAUAGUGAAAGAUGGUUUUGCUAUCACUUAUAGAUGGACCCGCGCCGUAUUAGCUAGUUGGUAAGGUAACGGCUUACCAAGGCAACGAUACGUAGCCGACCUGAGAGGGUGAUCGGCCACACUGGAACUGAGACACGGUCCAG